rnacentral:lncRNA from 1 species
UAUUUAUCAUGUACAAAGGUAAUUCCAAAACCUUUUAUUCCAGAUAAUUGCUUUAAGUAACUUGUUAUUGACUUAUUUGUAGAACAUAUAACUUGGGAAACAGAUAUCUCAACUGGUGCAUAUCUUUGAUUGUAUCUAACUUUUGUUGUCUCACUUUUGUCCAUAUUACAAGAUGACCUAUUUGGCACUGUUUUGUUUUUGGAGUUCAAUUUUUUACAUGUUAAUUUGUAGGCUCUGAUGGAAAUCACUCCAAAUUUCAGCCUCUGUCUCUUCCUAAUUCUAAAAAGAGUGCAAACGGAGGAGCAUACUUGGAGGUGCAGUUCUUUUCCUCUCCAUCGUCCACCAUACUAAACAAGCUCAAGACUCCACAACUCCCAAAAGGAAAAUGGAUCCUUUUUUACUGGCUGUCAUUCUUAUGGGUGUCCACAAUAGCAAAGACAUACUUUUAAUCAUUCUUUGGUAAUCAUUCGCAGAAGUCAGCUUGUUGUAUAUGUAUUCAAUAUAACUUUGCAAUGAGGCUUAGUGGCUUACGGGAUAAGGAUGAUUUUAUGUUAUCUACUUUCAACUCCAUCAGCUUUUUGUUUGAAACUAGUAUCUAGUCCUCACAUUUUUGUAUAGAUGAAAGAAAGCAUGUGCUAGGAGUAACAGAUCAGUGUCUUUAUAAAGGCUUUUUGUUUCGAGUAGGAUUUACAUCAUUUGUACAAAAGGAAAAUAGCUUUGGCUGAGACAAUGUAGCAGUUUUUAAUUUAUGAAUGUUAACACUUUCUAUUUCAAUUGAUACCGAAAUUAUGUAAUGAGCAAUUGUUCAUUUGUGUACUUCUGACAGC